GGCCAGGUGGCGGAGUGGUUAACGCGGUAGACUAGAACUACUACAUCAGUAGGAGUCUCUAAGCCAUCUACUUCCUUCGGGAGCGUCUGUUCGAAUCAGGCCCUGGUCG